rnacentral:rRNA from 1 species
GAAUAUUGGACAAUGGACGAAAGUCUGCUCCAGCCAUGCCGCGUGCAGGAUGCCUGCCCUAUGGGUUGUAAACUGCUUUUAUAUCGGCAGAAACCCCCGGACGUGUCCGGGGUUGCCGGUACUAUACGAAUAAGGAUCGGCUAACUCCGUGCCAGCAGCCGCGGUAAUACGGAGGAUCCAAGCGUUGUCCGGAUUUAUUGGGUUUAAAGGGUACGCAGGCGGGAUAUGAAGUCAGUGGUGAAAGCCUACAGCUCAACUGUAGAAUUGCCAUUGAAACUGAUAUUCUUGAGUGUGGUUGAGGUGGUUGGAAUAUAUCAUGUAGCGGUGAAAUGCUUAGAUAUGAUAUAGAACACCAAUUGCGAAGGCAGAUCACUAAACCAUUACUGACGCUCAUGUACGAAAGCGUGGGGAGCGAACAGG